ACUUGACCACAGCACGGUUGCCCUGAAGCAGCUGGAUGCCCACCAGGUCCGACAGCUGCACAUGAAGCACGUCCACCAGGGCGACACCAACCAACGAAUGGUCCACCGGCACCGUAAAUGCCAGACCAGGGGACAAAGUCCUCUUCACUGGAGGGCGAGAAGUCCCCAUGGCUAAGUCAAACGUCACCCUGUCAGUGGCAAACCACCACCAGCAGGGCAAACCAGCAAUCACCCAACGUAAACACGAGCCAGGAGCGGAGAGACCUCAGGAACGUCCGACCUGGCCGGUGGUCACCACGCAACUCAAAAGGCACAGCAGUUUCUUUUUUCUUCAUCGUAUACAGUAACCCGAUGCCCGAAACGCUUUGCGUAAUAGUGGCUUUAGGCAUUGUAUGUACUAGCUCUACCUAUAAGUCAACCAAUCUUUGUAAAAAUUUCUUGUAUGUAUGUACCUUACCUAAAUAAACAUUUAUUUAUUUAUUUUAUAACCUCCGAACUUAAGAGUUAUUGUUGUUGUUGAUGAUGUAGGGGCGACGAGGAUCGUGGGAUGGGAUGCCCGGCGUACCCGUGGAGGGCGAGGGUUGGUCUCUUCUAGGGGAACACCGUGGCCCUGGAGGAUGCCACGGUGCCUCCCCAGGUGUGGUCCACACGCACCAGCACCAGGUUGUACAGCUGGAUCGCCGUGUAAGAAAAGGAACAAGUAUUUAGAAGAGAAGAGGAAGAAUACAUCUAAGCCAUGAUGUAUCUGCAAAAGGAUGUAACCCUACAACAAGCUGACUAACUCCUGGAUACCUAUUUAGUGCCAAGUGAACAGGAACAUUAAGGAAUCGGAAAUGCACCUAACCAUUUCUGUCCCAACCUGGAUUUGAACCCAGAAUUCUCGAUUGCGAGAUGAAAAUAAAUCUGACUGUGCUACUGGGAUCCUUCAUUUGAUAAUACACAAUUUCGUAUUUGCACAGUAUUGAUAAAUAUGGAUUUGAAGAUGUCUCCACUUUGGACCAGUUUUUGUCUGUUUAUCAGUACAGUAUUGUGAAAUCAAAACUUUAUUUCUGAAAUUAAUAACUAAACCUGUACUACUGUUAAUACAGUAAUUGCUGUAUCAAAAUUUAAUAAUUUUUUGUCUAUAUCUGUUUAAUAUCUUUAAUUUAUAAUUGCUUACUAUGUACUGUUGCAGUUUUCAGUUUCCAAAUACAGUAUCAAGUAAUAACUGUCAAUCCUUUCUUAAUUCUCUCCAUCAACUCCUAAUUGUUAUAUUGUCUCAUUUGGUUUUACGAAUUAAUCCAUAAGUUUAUACUGUAUGUGGUUUUUGUAAUGCUCAAAACGCUUUGAAUAUUAGUGGCUUUAGGCAAUGUACUUGUGUUACUUAUGAAUCCUCUACUGUUCUUGUGGUGUCUUUGUACUCUUGCCUAAAUAAAUAUUAUUAUUAUUAUUAUUGAGAAAUGCCUUACAUUUCAGGAAUCAUUAAACAGUAAAAACAUGUAAAAUUUUAUUCAACAUGUCUUCAUUACAAAUAGAAUUUAAUACACUAUAAGAUAACCAUAUAAAUGCAUAUAAACAAUCUAUAACACUCAUACAGCUUUAUCUUAUCUGACCAGAAGCACACACCAACCUUAGCAACAACCACACAGCACACCAUCUGGUGUCCCAAGUUUCAAGCAUAAUCUGGUGAGAAGUCCUAAAAAGGAGAACAUCUGAAACUCUCAGAGAAGACAACUUUGGUGAGAAAAUGGGAAAUGCAAGCUGAUGCCAGGGAAGGCAACUCUAAAACAAAGUCAGGACAAACUCAUCAGCUAAGGAUAUGCAAAUUGGGAAGCAUGAACACAAUCAUGUUGCAUAAUGUAAUAAGAAAAAUUCUUAAGGAAUGUGCCAGUCCUUGCCGAGUAGAAGUGAUGUACUGUACGCGAGUUGGGAGACAGGCAGGCUGGACCUUUGACCUGCCAUCUGGAGGUAUGCCUGGGUAUUAGUUGACAUUAGGCAAACAACCACACCCCCUUGUUCCUACCCUUUCUCUCAAAUUAAACCCUUUCUCUCUACCCUACCCUUUCUCUCAAAAUUACUAUUAUUAUUAAAAAUUGUAGUUUGUUUCUUUACUCAAACUUUCUGGGUGGUUUUACUUGGUUUUUAGUUAAUUUCGGUUACCCAUGCUGCUCUUGCCAUGAGCACACUAGAUUCUGAUCCUGGUGUUGAGAAGGUCUUCACAAGUCCAGAGGCCUGAUGUUGUCUCUAGUACAUAUCAGAGCCAGUGUAUUGGGGAACUACUAAGGUCCAGAAUCUGUAACCAACAUUGAUAUUUAAACUUGGCAAAAGUGAAGACUAUGAACAUAUGCCUGUAAUAUCUGCAGAAAUAUUACCUAUUAAAUAAUAUAAUAUCUGCCAUAAGUAUCUGCUAUGGUUCUACUUUCUGUCUGUCUCUUUCUCUCUCUCUUGAGAUGCUUUCAUUAGUGUCAUUGCCAGCAACGCCUAAGCUGCUAAUCAUAUUCAUCAGUGUCUGGACCUGAAAUUUCUUUCCUACUAAAAAUUUUAAUAUUGGA
rnacentral:lncRNA from 1 species